rnacentral:lncRNA from 1 species
UUCAGCUUACAAGGUUCUUUAUAAUUACUAUUACAGAUGAGGACAGCUCUGUGCCAGAGAAUGAGCUGGGAUCUGCCCUGACAAGUGGAGCCUCGUUUGAAAGUGUCGGUAACAGGCUCUGUGUCUGAACCAAAGUUUCCCUUGCAACCUGGUGUGGCUGCAUGAUGGAGUUUGGGCCGUGACAUAUGGUGGGUUUGACGUGUGCCACUCUUAGGGCCAACUUCUAAAGCCUCCAAGACACAGCCCCAUGCCCUGUGCCCUUCUGCAGCUCAGAGCAGAUGAGCCCAGUGACCUUGAGGCCCUUGAAGAUGGUGGAACCAGGAGACAUGAGGGGCCUUGGCCUGGAAACACAACUCGAAGGGAAAUCACUCAUCUGGAAAACGUGUUUGGACCCAUACCACACCGUGGCAAAUACCUGGUAAAACUGUCAUCUGAAAUUGCUUGGAAAUAGGACACUACCACCUAAACCCACAGCUCGUAGGCCAGGGCACCUCAACUGUAGUCCCCAGACCAGCAGCAUCGGUGUUACCUGGAAAAUUAAAAAUGCAAAGUUUUGGGCCCACUUCAGACCCCAGGUCAGAAAUUGUGGGUUGCAGAAAUCUGUGUUUUAAUAACCCUUCAGAUGACUGUGGUGCCCGACAAAGUUGAAAUGCCUGCUCCCAUGUGUGCUGGGUUUAGUUUGUGCUUUAGCAAAGCGGGAUAAGAAAGAAAGGAGGCCAGGAUGGAAUUCGCUGGUUUCCAACUAGAAGUGACAGAAAAUAGAAAGAGUCCAGUAAUGUGAGGUCUUGAAGUGUUGGGAGAAUUCAUUCAUCACUUCUAGAUUCCAGACAAUCAGAAAUAAAAUUUUAAAAGUCUUUCAAUGACAAACUAAGACUUCUCAGUUGGGAAAAAAAAAAAAAAAGGACUCAGUCUUGUUGCAGACAUGAGAUGAAGAGUGUGGUCUUUUCACAAAUGCCUGUGCAAGGGAGUCAAGGACAGAAGCCAUCCGGUGGGCUCCUUGGCACGGGGGCGGCUGAAGCAAACCAACCAGGAGCCCACGCAGCUGUCAAGGGCUUGUGUCAGCAAGUAAAGCCUAGACUGCUUGUGACUGUGAAGUGUAAAAGUGCCCCUGGGUCCUCAGGCCUGUGGACAGGACAAAGCCAAAGCCGCCCAGCGCCGUGUGAUGCGGCCACAGAGAACACGAGCCUCGGGAGAGAGGAGCCUGGGGCUGGAAAACAAGGGUGAAGGACGCUCCCCUCUGGCUGCAGGAGAGGGGCUGCUGAGGGCAAGAUCCAUCAUUUCUUGGGACCAAUGAUGCUGCUUCCUACUCUCUGCUUUCUGCCUGGGAGUUUUGUCUGGGACGCCUGUGUCUGCCCCACUCACUGUGUGGUGCAAGCUCCAUUUCCAGUGAGGACAACCGUGGCUGCCGAGAGCACCUUACAAGCCAGGCAUCCUCCUCUGAGCUCAAGGCAGCCUUGAGAAGUGGGACGAAGACUUCCUUCACGGGAAGAGGAGCGGCUCAGAGAAAGGAAGAGGCUAGUCCAGAACCACCACGUGGACAUCUUCUGUGAAGGCAAGGGCUCACCCUCACCCUGACGCCAGCCACCUGCCCCUCUUAAUAGGAGGGCGGGCC